rnacentral:rRNA from 1 species
GACGAACGCUGGCGGCGUGCCUAACACAUGCAAGUCGAACGGAAAGGCCCUGCUUUUGUGGGGUGCUCGAGUGGCGAACGGGUGAGUAACACGUGAGUAACCUGCCCUUGACUUUGGGAUAACUUCAGGAAACUGGGGCUAAUACCGGAUAGGAGCUCCUGCUGCAUGGUGGGGGUUGGAAAGUUUCGGCGGUUGGGGAUGGACUCGCGGCUUAUCAGCUUGUUGGUGGGGUAGUGGCUUACCAAGGCUUUGACGGGUAGCCGGCCUGAGAGGGUGACCGGCCACAUUGGGACUGAGAUACGGCCCAGACUCCUACGGGAGGCAGCGGUGGGGAAUAUUGCACAAUGGGCGGAAGCCUGAUGCAGCAACGCCGCGUGCGGGAUGACGGCCUUCGGGUUGUAAACCGCUUUCGCCUGUGACGAAGCGUGAGUGACGGUAAUGGGUAAAGAAGCACCGGCUAACUACGUG